UACGUAGGGUGCAAGCGUUAAUCGGAAUUACUGGGCGUAAAGCGUGCGCAGGCGGCUUUGCAAGUCAGCUGUGAAAUCCCCGGGCUUAACCUGGGAACUGCAUUUGUGACUGCAAGGCUAGAGUACGGUAGAGGAGGAUGGAAUUCCGCGUGUAGCAGUGAAAUGCGUAGAUAUGCGGAGGAACACCGAUGGCGAAGGCAAUCCCCUGGACCUGUACUGACGCUCAUGCACGAAAGCGUGGGGAGCAAACAGG
rnacentral:rRNA from 1 species